rnacentral:rRNA from 1 species
CGGCGGACGGGUGAGUAAUGUCUGGGAAACUGCCUGAUGGAGGGGGAUAACUACUGGAAACGGUAGCUAAUACCGCAUAACGUCGCAAGACCAAAGAGGGGGACCUUCGGGCCUCUUGCCAUCAGAUGUGCCCAGAUGGGAUUUGCUAGUAGGUGGGGUAACGGCUCACCUAGGCGACGAUCCCUAGCUGGUCUGAGAGGAUGACCAGCCACACUGGAACUGAGACACGGUCCAGACUCCUACGGGAGGCAGCAUG